rnacentral:rRNA from 6 species
GCGAUAGCGAAGAGGUCACACCCGUUCCCAUGCCGAACACGGAAGUUAAGCUCUUCAGCGCCGAUGGUAGUCGGGGGUUUCCCCCUGUGAGAGUAGGACGCCGCCAAGC